CCUGCCCCUAGAGGCAUGGCAGGUGUGGCUGCCAUCUCACAUGUGCGUCAGUAAGUGGCAGAGAGGAGAGAGGCUGUGCCUACUCUCAGUGUUCUGCCUUAUGAACAUCUGAAUGAUUAGUAGCCUAACAUU